AGCUUUAUAGUCAAUAUAUGAUAUUAGAUUGCAAAUCUGGUGUAGUAGAAUACCUACUAAAGCUU
rnacentral:tRNA from 1 species